CCCUAUUAUAUCUAGAUUAAUUAAAAAUUUAAGGUAGUAAAUGUUAUAAUCAGGAAACUUAAAGAAUUUGGCGGUGUUUAUUCUAAUUAGAGGAAUAUGUUUUUUAAGCGAUAACCCCCGGGUAUUUUACUUAAGUUAAUUAUUUUGUAUAUCUCCGUCUAAAAAAAUUUUUAUAAAAUAUAUUUUAUUUAACUAAAAAGUUUGAAGUCAGGUCAAGGUGCAGAUUAUAUUUAAGUUAAAAUGUAUUACAAUAAAGUUAUUUUUGGAUUUUUUAUUAAUAAUAAGAAUGAAAAUGGAUUUAAAAGUAAAUUUAUUUAUAUAAUAAUUGUUUGAAUUAUGAAAAUAAAUAUGUACACAU
rnacentral:rRNA from 1 species